UAGGGAAUCUUCCGCAAUGGACGCAAGUCUGACGGAGCAACGCCGCGUGAGUGAAGAAGGACUUCGGUUCGUAAAACUCUGUUGUCAGAGAAGAACAGCGCAUAGAGCAACUGUUAUGCGUGUGACGGUAUCUAACCAGAAAGCCACGGCUAACUACGUGCCAGCAGCCGCGGUAAUACGUAGGUGGCAAGCGUUGUCCGGAUUUAUUGGGCGUAAAGCGAGCGCAGGCGGUCAAUUAAGUCUGAUGUGAAAGCCCCCGGCUCAACCGGGGAGAGUCAUUGGAAACUGUUUAACUUGAGUGCAGCAGAGGAGAGUGGAAUUCCAUGUGUAGCGGUGAAAUGCGUAGUUAUAUGGAGGAACACCAGUGGCGAAGGCGACUCUCUGGUCUGUAACUGACGCUGAGGCUCGAAAGCGUGGGUAGCAAACAGG
rnacentral:rRNA from 1 species